UCUCUUCCUGUCAGAGUCACCUCACUUUGCAGGGUCCUGAAGCUGAAGAAGCACAAGAAGAUAUUUAUUACCCAGUGGUGGAAGAAAGCAAAGAUGUUGUUCUCCAACCUUCUGAAGGUGGUCCUGGCUUCAAUGUGGCUAGGAUCCAGUACUGCCCAGAAGAUAAGUCAAGACCAACCAGCAAUGUCAGUGCAGGAGAAGGAGGCUGUGACCCUGGACUGCACAUAUGACACCAGGGAUACAACUUACUACCUCUUCUGGUACAAGCAGCUGAGCAGUGGGGAGAUGAUUUUCCUUAUUCGUCAGGACUCCUAUAACCAGAAAAAUGCCACAGAAGGUCGCUACUCACUGAAUUUUCAGAAAGCAAACCGUUCCAUCAACCUUGUCAUCUCACCUUCACAGCUGGAGGACUCUGCAGUGUAUUUCUGUGCUCUGAGUGAGCCCACAGUGAGAGGAGUGUAGGAAGGAGGUGAACCAAAACCUCAGGGCUCUGCUUGAUGCAUCCACCUGCUGUAGGGACCAUGACUGGGAAUUGUUAACACAGUCAGGAAGCAGCCAGGGCU